rnacentral:rRNA from 1 species
UAGGGAAUCUUCCACAAUGGACGCAAGUCUGAUGGAGCAACGCCGCGUGAGUGAAGAAGGGUUUCGGCUCGUAAAGCUCUGUUGGUAGUGAAGAGAGAUAGAGGUAGUAACUGGCCUUUAUUUGACGGUAAUUACUUAGAAAGUCACGGCUAACUACGUGCCAGCAGCCGCGGUAAUACGUAGGUGGCAAGCGUUGUCCGGAUUUAUUGGGCGUAAAGCGAGUGCAGGCGGUUCAAUAAGUCUGAUGUGAAAGCCUUCGGCUCAACCGGAGAAUUGCAUCAGAAACUGUUGAACUUGAGUGCAGAAGAGGAGAGUGGAACUCCAUGUGUAGCGGUGGAAUGCGUAGAUAUAUGGAAGAACACCAGUGGCGAAGGCGGCUCUCUGGUCUGCAACUGACGCUGAGGCUCGAAAGCAUGGGUAGCGAACAGGAUUAGAUACCCUGGUAGUCCAUGCCGUAAACGAUGAGUGCUAAGUGUUGGGAGGUUUCCGCCUCUCAGUGCUGCAGCUAACGCAUUAAGCACUCCGCCUGGGGAGUACGACCGCAAGGUU